CAGCCGCCGCGGUAAUACGGAGGGGGCUAGCGUUGUUCGGAUUUACUGGGCGUAAAGCGCACGUAGGCGGAUCGAUCAGUCAGGGGUGAAAUCCCAGAGCUCAACUCUGGAACUGCCUUUGAUACUGUCGAUCUGGAGUAUGGAAGAGGUGAGUGGAAUUCCGAGUGUAGAGGUGAAAUUCGUAGAUAUUCGGAGGAACACCAGUGGCGAAGGCGGCCAACUGGACAGAUACUGACGCUGAGACUCGAAAGCGUGGGGAGCAAACAGGAUUAGAUACCCGUGUAGUCCCUGUCUCUUAUAC
rnacentral:rRNA from 1 species